AACGUAGGACGCAAGCGUUAUCCGGAGUUACUGGGCGUAAGCGCGGGCAGGCGGCUCGAUGCGUCUGAUGUGAAAUCUCCUCGCUCAACGGGGAGAGGCCAUUGGAAACGGUCGGGCUGGAGGGCAGUAGAGGCAGGCGGAAUUCCGGGUGUAGCGGUGGAAUGCGUAGAGAUCCGGAAGAACACCGGUGGCGAAGGCGGCCUGCUGGGCAGUUGCUGACACUGAGGCGCGACAGCGUGGGGAGCAAACAGG
rnacentral:rRNA from 1 species